GAUGAACGCUGGCGGCGUGCCUAAUACAUGCAAGUCGAGCGAACAGACGAGGAGCUUGCUCCUCUGUCGUUAGCGGCGGACGGGUGUGUAACACGUGGAUAACCUACCUAUAAGACUGGUAUAAUUUCGGGAAACCGGAGCUAAUCCCGGAUAACAUGUUGAACCGCAUGGUUGAACAGAGAAAGUCGGCUUUGCUGUCUGUUAUAGCUGGUUCCGGGUCGCAUGAGCUAGUUGGUGAGGUAACGGGUUACCAAGGCAACGAUGCGUAGCCGACCGGAGGGGGGGGUAGGCGGCCCUAGAGCUGGGACGCGGUCAAGGGGACUGAGGGAGGCAGCAGUAGGGAAUCGGCCGCAAUGGGCGAAAGCCUGACGGAGCAAGGGGGCGCGAGAGGAGAAGGUCUUCGGAGCGUAAAACUCUGUUAUGGGGGAAGAACAGAUGUGGAAUGUGCUAUGGACGUCUUGACGGUAACGAGUCAGAAAGCCACGGCUAACUACGUG
rnacentral:rRNA from 1 species